AACGAACGCUGGCGGCAUGCCUAACACACGCAAGUCGAACGAGACCUUCGGGUCUAGUGGCGCACGGGUGCGUAACGCGUGGGAAUCUGCCCUCUGGUACGGAAUAACUCAGGGAAACUUGAGCUAAUACCGUAUAAUGACUCCGGUCCAAAGAUUUAUCGCCUGAGGAUGAGCCCGCGUCGGAUUAGCUAGUUGGUGAGGUAAAGGCUCACCAAGGCGACGAUCCGUAGCUGGUCUGAGAGGAUGAUCAGCCACACUGGGACUGAGACACGGCCCAGACUCCUACGGGAGGCAGCAGUGGGUAAUAUUGGACAAUGGGCGAAAGCCUGAUCCAGCAAUGCCGCGUGAGUGAUGAAGGCCUUAGGGUUGUAAAGCUCUUUUACCCGGGAUGAUAAUGACAGUACCGGGAGAAUAAGCCCCGGCUAACUCCGUGCCAGCCGCCGCAGUAA
rnacentral:rRNA from 1 species